rnacentral:rRNA from 1 species
AGUGAACGCUGGCGGUAGGCCUAACACAUGCAAGUCGAACGGCAGCACAGUAAGAGCUUGCUCUUACGGGUUGCGAGUGGCGGACGGGUGAGGAAUACAUCGGAAUCUACUUUUUCGUGGGGGAUAACGUAGGGAAACUUACGCUAAUACCGCAUACGACCUACGGGUGAAAGCAGGGGAUCUUCGGACCUUGCGCGAUUGAAUGAGCCGAUGUCGGAUUAGCUAGUUGGCGGGGUAAAUGCCCACCAAGUCGACGAUCCGUAGCUGGUCUGAGAGGAUGAUCAGCCACACUGGAACUGAGACACGGUCCAGACUCCUACGGGAGGCAGCAGUGGGGAAUAUUGGACAAUGGGCGCAAGCCUGAUCCAGCCAUACCGCGUGGGUGAAGAAGGCCUUCGGGUUGUAAAGCCCUUUUGUUGGGAAAGAAAAGCAGCAGGUUAAUACCCCGCUGUUCUGACGGUACCCAAAGAAUAAGCACCGGCUAACUUCGUG